UCUAACUACAUUGAUCACUAAUUAUAUUAAAUUUAAAUUAUCAUAUACAUUAUUGAUUUUAUGAUGUAAAUGCAAUAUUAAUAACUUACUAGUUAUCAUAAAUCUAAUUGAACAUUAAAAAAUAACAAAUAUAUUUCAGAAUUUUUUUCAUACACAUAAUUAAUUUAUUUUGUCCUUCUUAAUGUAGUUAUGAUUCUUUUUGUUUUUUUAUAGGUAUACUUAAUUGUCAUUGUUGUUAUCUUAUUUACAUUAUCGUAUUUGCAUAUAAAGAAGUAAAAAAAAUAGAAGACAUAUAUAAAACAAGAAAAGAAUGGCAAUUAACUAAAGCUAAAAAUCCAAAACCUAAUCCUCAUAUUUUUUUACCUCCAGCCGCCACACCCCUCUACGGUUCCUUAUUCCCUUUGUCAAUUCCACCCCAAAUCUUAUUCCAUAUCAAAAAAUCAUAAGGGGUUUUCUGGUGUUAUGUAAUGGAGUUGGGUAAAUGACUAAUCAAUUUUUUUUUUUUUAGAAUGGAGGGGCAAAAGUCUUAUCAUAUAUUUUAAGUGAUGGUUCCUCUGUAUUAAAUCUACAUCAGCAAAAUCUCCAUAAAUGGUCUAUCAUAAAUUUGAAGCAGGUUAUGAAAUGCGAUUAAGGAGAUGCUAUUGAUCGCUUUUGAUAGAAUUAUCUUGAUCUUUCUCCAAGGUACAUUUAUGGAAUUACCAUAGCAGAAGCAAUGACAAACUAGAGGGUAGAUAUUGAUCAAAGUAAGAUUGGAGGCUACGUGGGAGGAGAGAAAUCAGAAGGUUGUGCGGCUUUGAGUCUCAAGCAAGAUACUACUAUUGUAAUUGGUGUCAUAGAAGAAUUAUGUAUUGUGAAUGUUUGAAAUUUUAGAUCCGUAACUAUAUGUAAAUUGAAACUUACUCUAUAUGUAAAUUGAAACUUA